GACUGCGUCACCGUGAACAUGGCGGAGGCUACGAUCAUACCACAACACCGUUUUUUCUGUCACUGCUGUAAAAGUGAAACAAACCCCAAACUCCCGGAUUGUGCAGGAGUUCUCGGCCUCUUUGCCGGCAGCAGGAGCCACGUUGCUGCACACUGCGCUUUUUGAUUUCUCGAUUGAGAUCCCCCCCCCCCAACUCUCGCCCUUUUGCUCUUUUUCUGUUUGUCUCAUGUAUACGAGUGCACUUAAACCCGGGGGAUUAUGCAUGGGGUCACGAAGGUCGGGACUCUGUCAUCACAGAGCAUGGUGCCGAAAAAGCCUCAACGGUGUAGACAGGAGCAUCGAGCUGACAUCAGAACCUCCAGAAGCUCGCUCCAUGAGGACAGAGCAUCAGGAGAGGCUCGGGAUCCAAGAAACAGGCCUAGAAACUAUACCUCCUUAACUGUCUUCAAGAGACCUUUCUCCUGACACGCCUUUCCCGUCACAUUGACUGCUUUUAAAUAAAGUACAUGACA